rnacentral:rRNA from 1 species
GACGAACGCUGGCGGCGUGCUUAACACAUGCAAGUCGAACGGAAAGGCCCUGCUUUUGUGGGGUGCUCGAGUGGCGAACGGGUGAGUAACACGUGAGUAACCUGCCCUUGACUUUGGGAUAACUUCAGGAAACUGGGGCUAAUACCGGAUAGGAGCUCCUGCUGCAUGGUGGGGGUUGGAAAGUUUCGGCGGUUGGGGAUGGACUCGCGGCUUAUCAGCUUGUUGGUGGGGUAGUGGCUUACCAAGGCUUUGACGGGUAGCCGGCCUGAGAGGGUGACCGGCCACAUUGGGACUGAGAUACGGCCCAGCCUCCUCCCGGAGGCAGCAGUGGGGAAUAUUGCACAAUGGGCGGAAGCCUGAUGCAGCAACGCCGCGUGCGGGAUGACGGCCUUCGGGUUGUAAACCGCUUUCGCCUGUGACGAAGCGUGAGUGACGGUAAUGGGUAAAGAAGCACCGGCUAACUACGUG